AGGAUUGCAAGAAGGAGCCCAGGUUUCUAACCUCCAGCUCAAGCGGUUAAAGUCCGUUUCCAUCCUU
rnacentral:tRNA from 1 species